CCAUUCUCAUCAUCCCUAUUCAAAUCUCAGAAUCCAAAACCCUAGCUUCAAACAUUAAAGUAAUAAAGCCUCAUCAUCAUGCCUUAUUUCGUUUAAAUCUUCCAUUAGAUUCGGAGGAAUCUUGACCUCAUCGUGACAUAUGAUGAUCCAUAGGUCAAACGCAGUGAAUAGGUAAAAUCCCUACCCCGGUAGUCCGACGAUCUCAACGGCUAAUUUGGUAGAUAUUUUUGAAUAGGUAAAAUCCCUACCCCGAUUUCCCCUCUAAUUUUUCACUUUUCCCCUUUUGAUUUCGUCAGUGUUCAUCAUCAUCAUCUUUCACUGAUUUUUCAAAUUUGAAUGAAACCCCUAAGGUCUCAAUCUUAGCUAUAAAUACUGGGCUUUAAUGCCCUCACCAACACACACAACUAUCAUAAAAAUCUUAGUAAUUUCUCAUAUCCUAUUUUCUUUAAGUAUUCAAUGAAUCCCUCUAAACUUCUUUUUUUUUUCUAUAUGAGUUAAAAUGCUAAAUAUUUAUGGUGAGUACUGCACCUUAAACGGCUAAGCAUAGCUACUUGGUUUGCUGCUCCAAAUAAGGUCAGCAGAGUUUUACGUUAAUCAAUUAGAUUUGUCAUAUAGUUCUCUCAUGUUGUUUUCAUUUGAUUAUCUAAUAUUUUCUGUUGAUCGUCUGCCUACUCCCCUUCAUGAUAUUCGUUAGUCAAGCAUGUUACUUUAAUCUAUGUUCUGCCACUUUUAUUGGUUUCCAAUUGACUAAUUGACGUUUUCCGUUAAUAAUUAUGUUUUUCUCCUAUGUUAUUUGUUUAAACAAAAUAUAUUUUGGUGAAAUCCUAUUUUGGAUCAAACUUGAAUACUGGUCCUCAUAUGUUUAGUAAUCCUAUUUUGGAUUGGUGAAAUCACGCAUGCUGCUUCUACUGAUUGUUAUGGUUGUAGAUACCAUGCUUGUAGCUUUGACCUUAAUAUUAAAACCUGAUUAUUUUGUUCUGAUUAAUAGCUUUGUUAUCUUUUCUGAUUGGCCUAACUUUGGUGGAGUUAGUUACAGGUCUAAAGUAAUUAAUCUAGACUGCUUAAUGUCCAUUGGAGUUUAAUCAUGAUUUGUUUCUCUUGGUUGGUGUAUCUUUUUAUCUUUAAAUGACUGCCCUAAGCUGUUUAAUUUCUUCAAGGUUUCUAGCAUAAAUGUCAUAGACUCGCUGAUUGUAAAAAGGUAUAUGUUGUUAUUGUUGUAGCCUUAUGAAAUAGUAGACCUAUGAUGAAAACUCAGUAAGUGAAUGUAUGUGUUUGUUUUUUGCUAACUCCAGCUGAUGCCUUAAACCACCUAGAGUGACAUUCUAGAAAUUAAAGUUAUCUAUAACAUAGCAAGUAUGCUCAUAUUAUGUUUGGAGCAAUGAUCCCCAAGAACGUUGUAUAGAUGUUAUAACAUGUGGAAUGGUUCUGAUUUGACUUUUAAACCUUUGAAACUACUAGGAACUUUGAGAGCUUAUAUGUUGUGAUAUGUCCCUACAUCACACAUUUUGAUAGUGAUCACUUACUAAAGAUUGUUUCAAACUAAGUCAUGUGUUAGUCCCUGAUCAUUUAUGGUAUUUUACUAAAGUGAUUGUUUCAAUUCGUAGAAUAAUUGUUUGCUAACAAGUCUUGUAUUGUCCUGAAAUUAUUUGUACCUUUGUUUGACUAAAUUCUUGAAAUAUAUCAUGCUUAGAUGAAUUAAGGUAUCAUAUUAGACCUUCUAUGUUAUUGAUAGUUUGUCUCAUGUUGAAUGUAUGGGGCUGCCUGGCUAACCUAUUUGGUUAAGUGCUAAGUCAUGGUUCUUGAGUCUAAACCCCAAUUACAAGGUUCAAUAGCUGCGGUAUUUGACGUGGACUUAAUUUUACUAUCAAAGGACCCUUCCCUUACACAAACACUGCUCGAGGUCCAAGAGAUCCUUGUGAAAUCUGAAGUGUCAGGGUCCAUGAAGGGAACCUUGUACUAAGACAUGUAUAUUUGGUGGUCAUCUACGCGCGUAGGCGCAGUUGCUUAGGAGACUUUGUGGUGAGCUGCUCUCUAUGUUACGAUAUGCAACACACGGAGAACUUGUCUUACUCAUUUACUAUAUUAUGUCUAUUUUCUAAUCCAAACAGUUGUUAUAGUGGUAUUGUACACUCUAUUAGAUGCGCAUGUACUUGUAACACCGAGUUUUGGGGUUUAGACUA